rnacentral:rRNA from 1 species
GACGAACGCUGGCGGCGUGCCUAAUACAUGCAAGUCGAGCGGACUUGACAGAGCUUGCUCUGUUCAAGUUAGCGGCGGACGGGUGAGUAACACGUGGGCAACCUGCCCUGCAGAUUGGGAUAACUCCGGGAAACCGGGGCUAAUACCGAAUAACAUUGAAAACCUCAUGGUUUUCUUUUAAAAGGCGGCUUCGGCUGUCACUGCAGGAUGGGCCCGCGGCGCAUUAGCUAGUUGGUGAGGUAACGGCUCACCAAGGCAACGAUGCGUAGCCGACCUGAGAGGGUGAUCGGCCACACUGGGACUGAGACACGGCCCAGACUCCUACGGGAGGCAGCAGUAGGGAAUCUUCCGCAAUGGACGAAAGUCUGACGGAGCAACGCCGCGUGAGUGAAGAAGGUUUUCGGAUCGUAAAACUCUGUUGUUAGGGAAGAACAAGUAUCGGAGUAACUGCCGGUACCUUGACGGUACCUGACCAGAAAGCCACGGCUAACUACGUGCCAGCAGCCGCAGUAACAC